rnacentral:rRNA from 1 species
CGUGUAGGCGGUUUGUUAAGUCUGAUGUGAAAGCCCCGGGCUCAACCUGGGAAGUGCAUUGGAUACUGGCAGACUUGAAUACGGGAGAGGGUAGUGGAAUUCCUGGUGUAGGAGUGAAAUCCGUAGAUAUCAGGAGGAACACCGGUGGCGAAGGCGGCUACCUGGACCGAUAUUGACGCUGAGACGCGAAAGCGUGGGGAGCAAACAGGAUUAGAUACCCUGGUAGUCCACGCCGUAAACGAUGAGUACUAGGUGUUGCGGGUAUUGACUCCUGCAGUGCCGCAGCUAACGCAUUAAGUACUCCGCCUGGGAAGUACGGUCGCAAGACUAAA